GGCCAGGUAGCUCAGUUGGUAGAGCAGCGGACUGAAAAUCCGCGUGUCGGCGGUUCGAUUCCGCCCCUGGCCACCA
rnacentral:tRNA from 7 species